rfam:TPA: Bos taurus chromosome 25, whole genome shotgun sequence.
UCCCUGGUGGUCCAGUGGUUAGGACUCUACGCUUUCACUGCCUAGGGCCUGGGUUCAAUCCCUGGUCAGGGGA